rnacentral:rRNA from 1 species
CUCCUGGAAACGGGUGGUAAUGCCGGAUGCUCCGCCCCCUCGCAUGGGGGGUCGGGGAGGCUUUUGCGGAAUGGGAUGGGGUCGCGUCCUAUCAGCUUGUUGGCGGGGCGACGGCCCACCAAGGCUUCGACGGGUAGCCGGCCUGAGAGGGCGACCGGCCACAUUGGGACUGAGAUACGGCCCAGACUCCUACGGGAGGCAGCAGUGGGGAAUAUUGCACAAUGGGGGGAACCCUGAUGCAGCGACGCCGCGUGCGGGAUGGAGGCCUUCGGGUCGUGAACCGCUUUUGAUUGGGAGCAAGCGUGAGUGAGUGUACCUUUCGAAUAAGCACCGGCUAACUACGUGCCAGCAGCCGCGGUAAUACGUAGGGUGCAAGCGUUGUCCGGAAUCAUUGGGCGUAAAGGGCUCGUAGGCGGUUCGUCGCGUCCGGUGUGAAAGCCCAUCGCUUAACGGUGGGUCUGCGCCGGGUACGGGCGGGCUUGAGUGCGGCAGGGGAGGCUGGAAUUCCCGGUGUAACGGUGGAAUGUGUAGAUAUCGGGAAGAACACC